GAAGCGGCAACAGCUCAAAUUUGAAAUCUGGCCUCGGCCCGAGUUGUAAUUUGUAGAGGAUGCUUUUGAUGCGGCGCCUUCUGAGUUCCCUGGAACGGGACGCCAGAGAGGGUGAGAGCCCCGUAGAGUCGGACGCCAAGUCUCUGUAAAGCUCCUUCGACGAGUCGAGUAGUUUGGGAAUGCUGCUCAAAAUGGGAGGUAAAUUUCUUCUAAAGCUAAAUACCGGCCAAAGACCGAUAGCGCACAAGUAGAGUGAUCGAAAGAUGAAAAGCACUUUGAAAAGAGGGUUAAAAAGCACGUGAAAUUGUUGAAAGGGAAGCGCUCAUGACCAGACUUGCGCCUUGUGGAUAAGCCAGCGUUCUCGCUGGUGUUUCUGCUCGGUUCAGGCCAGCAUCGGUUUUCUUAGGGGGAUAAAAGCUUCGGGAACGUGGCUCCUCCGGGAGUGUUAUAGCCCGCUGCACAAUAUCCCUAGGGGGACCGAGGCCCGCGCUUCGGCAAGGAUGCUGGCGUAAUGGUCAUCAGCGACCCGUCUUGAAACACGGACCAAGGAGUCAAGCAUUAGGGCGAGUGUUUGGGUGUAAAACCCGCACGCGAAAUGAAAGUGAACGCUGGUGAGAGCUUCGGCGCAUCAUCGACCGAUCCUGAUGUACUCGGAUGGAUUUGAGUAAGAGCCUUACCGCUUGGACCCGAAAGUUGAUGAACUAUGCCUGUAUAGGGUGAAGCCAGAGGAAACUCUGGUGGAGGCUCGCAGCGGUUCUGACGUGCAAAUCGAUCGUCAAAU
rnacentral:rRNA from 1 species